CCUACGGGUGACAGCAGUGAGGAAUAUUGGUCAAUGGCCGCGAGCCUGAACCAGCCAAGUAGCGUGAAGGAUGACUGCCCUACGGGUUGUAAACCUCUUUUAUCAAGGAACAAAGCGAGUCACGUGUGCCUCAUUGUAAGUACUUUAUGAAUAAGCAUCGGCUAACUCCGUUCCAGCAGCCGCGGUAAUACGGAGGAUGCGAGCGUUAUCCGGAUUUAUUGGGUUUAAAGGGUGCGUAGAUGGAUUGUUAAGUCAGUUGUGAAAGUGUGCGGCUCAACCCUAUACUUGCAAUUGAUACUGGCAGCCAUGAGUACAGUUGAGGUAUGCGGAAUUCGUGGUGUAGCGGUGAAAUGCGUAGAUAUCACGAAGAACUCCGAUUGCGAAGGCAGCUUACAAAACUGCCACUGACAUUGAUGCUCGAAAGUGUGGGUAUCGAACAGGAUUAGAUACCCGGGUAGUC
rnacentral:rRNA from 1 species